rnacentral:rRNA from 1 species
GAUGAACGCUGGCGGCGUGCCUAAUACAUGCAAGUCGAGCGAACAGACGAGGAGCUUGCUCCUCUGACGUUAGCGGCGGACGGGUGAGUAACACGUGGAUAACCUACCUAUAAGACUGGGAUAACUUCGGGAAACCGGAGCUAAUACCGGAUAAUAUAUUGAACCGCAUGGUUCAAUAGUGAAAGACGGUUUUGCUGUCACUUAUAGAUGGAUCCGCGCCGCAUUAGCUAGUUGGUAAGGUAACGGCUUACCAAGGCGACGAUGCGUAGCCGACCUGAGAGGGUGAUCGGACACACUGGAACUGAGACACGGUCCAGACUCCUACGGGAGGCAGCAGUAGGGAAUCUUCCGCAAUGGGCGAAAGCCUGACGGAGCAACGCCGCGUGAGUGAUGAAGGUCUUCGGAUCGUAAAACUCUGUUAUUAGGGAAGAACAAAUGUGUAAGUAACUAUGCACGUCUUGACGGUACCGAAUCAGAAAGCCACGGCUAACUACGUG